GAUGAACGCUGACAGAAUGCUUAACACAUGCAAGUCAACUGUGGCGGACGGGUGAGUAACGCGUAAAGAACUUGCCUCACAGAUAGGGUCAACAUUUGGAAACGAAUGCUAAUACCUGAUACUGUGAGGGUGCUUUGCGUCCCAUUAGCUAGUGGGAGUGGUAACGGCUCACCAAGGCGAUGAUGGGUAGCCGGCCGGCGAGGGUGAUCGGCCACAAGGGGACUGAGACACGGCCCUUACUCCUACGGGAGGCAGCAGUGGGGAAUAUUGGACAAUGGACCAAAGUCUGAUCCAGCAAUUCUGUGUGCAAGAUAAAGUUUUCGGAAUGUAAAGUGCUUUCAGUUGGGAAGCGGUACCAACAGAAGAAGUGACGGCUAAAUACGUGCCAGCCGCCGCGGUAAUUC
rnacentral:rRNA from 1 species